AAGAUGACACUUUUGGGCAUCAUUUCUUUAGUUGUUGACUUCAGAAAUGUAUUUCUGAAGAGUUUGGUCUUGCUGCUUACAAUGAAGAGUUGAAAUGUUUCCUUCAGAGCAGGAAACUGGUGGGAAGACUUUGUUUCUUCUCUGUUGUUGAAGACUGUUCAGAAAGACUCUGAAGAAGGACACAUGGUCUGAGUGGA
rnacentral:snoRNA from 1 species